rnacentral:rRNA from 1 species
CCUACGGGCGGCAGCAGUGGGGAAUAUUGCACAAUGGGGGAAACCCUGAUGCAGCGACGCCGCGUGAGUGAAGAAGGAUUGCGGGAGGUAAAGCUCUAACAGCAGGGAAGAAGAAAGACGGUACCUGACGAAGAAGCCCAGGCUAACUACGUGCCAGCAGACGCGGGAAGACGGAGGGGGCAAGCGUUAGCCGGAUUUACGGGGUGUAAAGGGAGCGUAGACGGCUGUGCAAGUCUGAAGGGAAAGCCCAGGGCUCAACCCGGGGACUGCUUUGGAAACUGUGGAGCUAGAGUGCUGGAGAGUUCAGUGGCCUUCCUCGUGUCGCGGUGACAUGCGUCGCUCUUAGUCGGCACCCCAGUGGCGACGGCGGCUUACUGGACCGUAACUGCCGUUGCGGCUCGACAGCGUGGGGAGCAAACAGGAUUAGCUCCCCGUGUAGUC